AAAAGCUGACCAUCGGGCUGCUCUGUCAGGGGAGGGGCGGUGGGGGGGAGAUGACUGGUGAUGAUUUAACUUGGGGAUCGCCACGCCUCAGGCGAGGGGUCGGAAAUGGUGAAAGUGAAUCCUUCAGGGUAACCUCACGCUGUCGGGGUCGCUCUGCAUCAUCAACAGGCCGUCCCAUCCAUCUCGGAACUGUGUGUGUGUGUGUGUGUGUGUGUGUGUGUGUGUGUGUGUCUGAGUGUUUGAGUGUGAAUCCUGGGCUAGAGUGGAUGGAUGGAUGUCUCAGGAGAGAGAUGUGUACCCUGGACGUAACCUCAAGAUACAGCUUUCUGCAGCGUCCCGUCGGUCCCCUCACCUGACCUGAGGCAGGACGUUUUGGGACUGAAGGUGGUCUCGCCACAGUUGGGAGCUGAGCUGGUGACCUGCGAGGAAGAUGCCCGAGAGGGCAAGAGCGCUUGCGAAGCACGUGGCGCAAUUUCCACGAAGGAGGUUUGAAAUGGCCUAAGGGCUAACCCCAACCCCGUUCUCCAGAGCGAGUGACUGCACUCGUCCUUGACCAGCCGGUCAGAUGUGUUUCUCUAAUGCAGACCACAGUCCAUGUGUGAGGGAGAGGUCAUCCUGAUGGCAUCUCCGGUCUGAUCUCUCCAAAAAUCCGCCCAGAUAGUCCUCUCCUCCGGAACGUUCAGAGACGAGUGGGCCAUUCAGCCCCUCAAUGCUUCCUCUCUUGGCCAGUGAGCCAGGCGACAGACCAGGCUCGAAGGACCGACCCCGGUUCCUAUUUCGUAUGGCCUAAUGGGGGAAAAAAAUCUGCACGUCUUACCACAUCAAUAGAUGCUGCAGCAAGCCUGAGGGAGCCGUUCCAGCCAUUACAAAGAUUCUGUUAUCACCCGGAAAUUCGCGUCAUUUGACCGAGUAUUGAAUGGACAGAGACAAAGGGACCUUAAUCCAUGAUUUGAACAUGAACAUUGAUCCCAGUUGUGAAGCCAUGUGCUCCAUCCUGCCUGUGAAAAGCACAUUGAUAAGGUCAGGGCCAGAAUCACAUUGCACUGUGAGGACGGAAAGCCAAGCAUGGAUUUGGAAGGUGCAGCCGAGGGAGCCGGAAUGCACUCUGAGUUGGUUAUUCCAAUUGCAGUGAUCAGCUCUCAAUGGCAAGCCUCAGAAAUGAAGGCGGUAAAGGUCCUUUGGACAAUGGGAAGAACAGGUUAUUGAUUUGAACAAUGAGCCAUGACCGUAACAAGCGGUUGAACAUACUCGAGGGGCUGAAUGGCCUCCUCCUGUUCCAAGUGGAUGGGUUACAACAAAAAAAAGGCUUCAACCUCACUGGAAUAAAAUAGAAAGUAUUGGGUUUUUCUUCUCUCUGCGCUUCUCACUGAUCCUCGUGGCGUACAGUUAAGUCUGGGAAUCGAUAGAUUCUCGAUCUAUCGAGGAAUCAACUGUGAUGGAGGAAAACGGAUGUGAGGAAUGAUGGAGGGGCAGUGGUGUGUUAAAUUAUUCCCCCGGAUGGGUGCUUGUGUCGUCCAGGUGAGGGGAUCAGAAAGGGGCAGCCAGACCUCCAGGCUGUCCACCGACAGACUUAACAACACCACUUCAGCUGGCCGGAGGAAGUGUGCGCAAGUCCGAACCAAACCAUCCCCACGACUCCUUCCCCAUCCCGACAAGGUCUCUGAAAGAUACCUCUGAUGAAGGGUCUAGGCCCGAAACGUCAGCUUUUGUGCUCCUGAGAUGCUGCUUGGCCUGCUGUGUUCAUCCAGCCUCACAUUUGGUUAUCUGGCGUUCCUGCGUGCUUGCUCCCUUCCUAACUUCCUCACAGGGCAACUGUUCUGAACCCAGAUCCACUGGCGACUCCCAAUGAGCACUGCCCUGUUUCUGAAGACAGAGCAUCACCAUCCAAUCAGUGUCUGACCCCCAACUUGAAGCCGACUGUGGGAAAUAGAUAUAUUUUUCUGUCGCACUAUUUCGUGACCUAACGUACGUUCGGAUAGUUUUGAACUUCUCAGCUAUUUUUUCAGAGGAAAGAUGGAAUUAAACCGAGUCAAACGAAUGUGCUGCCUUGGUGAUUUUUAUUUGCUGUGUGUUAAGGAGUGAGGAUCGCACCCGAAACUUGCCAGCACUGGGCCUAAUUUUGUGAUUUCGAGCGUCAGUUUGUCUCCUAACCAACAACGUGACAACAGUCCCUGUUUGCACACAGAUAGCUGGUUUGUUCGCGUCUAGCUUUGCGUAAGUCUUUGAAAUCCAGCAGGGAUGAGCUGUGAGCACCGUUGGAUCUCGGGGUAAAAACACUGCCCGAUGUGUGUAAGGCAACAGGCCCACAGUGCUUGUUGGAUGGCCUAGUGGUGCUAUCACUGGAUUGCUGAUCCAGAUAAUGCUCUGGGGACCUGGGUUCGAAUCCUGCCAUGGCACUUAGUGGAAUUUGAAUUCAAUUAAAAAUAUCUGGAAUUAAGAAUCUACUGAAGACCGUGAAUCCAUUGCCUGUAGGGAAAACCCAUCUGGUUCACUAUUGCCGUUUAGGGAAGGAAACUGCCAUCCUUGAUGAAGGGUCUAGGCCCGAAACGUCAGCUUUUGUGCUCCUGAGAUGCUGCUUGGCCUGCUGUGUUCAUCCAGCCUCACAUUUUGUUAUCUUGGAAACUGCCAUCCUUACCUGGUCUGGUUUACAUGUGACUCCAGACCCACAGCAAUGACUCUCAACCGCCCUCUGGGCAAUUAGGGAUGGGCAAUAAAUGCAGCCUUAGCUGGCAAUACACUCAUCCCAUUCAGGAGCAUUUUAAAAAAGUAUGAACCAGGAAAGAAUUAGGGAGUCCUUCGAGAUAAGAUUUCUCUCAUGGGACAUGGGUGUCGCUGGCUGGGCCCAGUAUUUAUGGCCCAUCCCCAAUUGCCUGAGCUGCCUUCUUGAGCCACUCCUGUAGGAAGACAAACAGUGUAGUUCGCUAAAUAAUUUUGACCCAGCAACGGUGAACUAACGGUGAUUGUAUUUCCAAGUCAGGACAGUGAGUGUCUUGGAGGGGAACUUGUCAUCUUACUGGGUGGAACAUGGCAGUGUUCCAUGCAUCGACCUCCCUUGUCUCUCAAGAUAUCACGGGCCUCAGGAGAAUUUUGUUCCUUCUGAUUCUUGACCCCUUCGUUGAUCUCAAGUUGUGGAUGUGUUUCGUGUUCAGUGAGGAAGACAGCGACUGAUAACUGAGCUUCGGGAUCAUGAUCUCCAGCGACCAGCCUGAUUUCCCAGAAGGGUUUUGAAGAGAAAGAGGAACAAACAGAACAGUGCCCAUGGGCUGUUGUACAGGAAGGCAGGAAAUAGGGAAAGGAGAUGGCCAUUCUGAACACCCCCACCCCCGCCAGCUCUGCUAACCCAGCAGUUGGCGCAUCAUUUCCCUCAGUGGCAGUCUCCUGUACUGUCUCCUUUAUUUCUAGGUGUUUUUAAAAGGUCUUGUUUUCUCUCAAACAUAGACAAUGACUGGGUUCCCACAGCUCUCUGGGUCCAAAGAUGCUCCAGUGCCUGAGUGAAGAGGCUCUCCCUCCUCCAGUCCCCAGUGGCUUGUUCCUCUUUCAGAAACUGUGCCCCUGGUCCCAGACUGAGUUCAGGCAGGAGAAACUGCCUCCCUACACCUACUCUGUCAGGCCUGGUCCAUGUGUAAUGUGCUUGAACUGAGCACGCUCUGUCGACGAGAACGUACGCAUGGCCUCCAGUCUGAACAUCCAGGAUAUAACAAGGUGCAGAGCUGGAUGAACACACCAGGCUUAGCUGCAUCAGAGGAGCAGGAAGCCUGACGUUUCGGUUCACAGGCUGAGGCUUCGCCAUGCGGUCCCGGUACCGCGGCCAGCCUGCAGCACUGCCGGCAGCCUCUGGGAAUGGAGAACCCAGUGCUGGCUGAGCAUCGAGCCGGUCGCAUCUCUACACAGCUGCAGCACGACGGAGACAUCGCUGCGGGAGAGCACGGGGUCAGUGCAGAGACAGCCCAUGGGGGUUUCUGCACACCCCAACGAUGACCUUCCAGAGCUACUUAAACAGGUAAACACCAGGAUCCACUCCGAAUGCACAGGUCCCAAUCAAAACCGAUGCCAGAACAAGUGCGGGGGAAGAGGUGCCACACAAUGGGCCCAAGUCAGGCAGGGACAUGGUUUUUCAUUCAUUCACUCAUGGGAAUGAGAGCAUAAACCAGCAUUUAUUGUCCAUCCCUAAUAUCAGAAUCAACCAUCUUGCUGUUGGCCUGGAGUCACCUGUAGGCCAGACUAGCUAAGGACCGUAAAGCGCACUCCAGCAGUCAGUAAUCUCAGGUGUGGGGAAUUGAAAUGUAACAAGCAAUGUGUUUAGAUGAGAGAGUCGAACUUGCUGGACAGAUAAGUUACUAAGAGUUGGGGGAAAAUGGGGUUGAGGUAGCAGAUCGUUAAUAAUCUAGAAGGGCGGAGCGGGCUGAAUGGCUGUUCCGAUGAAUGUCCAUAGGUGGUCCUUUCUCGCGUUUUUGUCUUGUUUGCAGCCUCUGAGGCCCCGUCCCUCGGUCAUUCCCAGCUGAAGACCCACCCAUUGUCUCAAGCAACCAAACGGUCGAAGCUGGAGGUCGCCCAGAGUUCGGAUUAUUUUGACGGACAAGCGCUGGCCAGCAAAGGUGGUUGCCCCACAGUAAUGCGAGUGUUCAUGCGAUGAGGCUGACUGGACCUCCAUUUCAUGCCUCAGCCCAAGGACAGGCCGUUGGGCUAUGCCGCCCUCCCUCAGUCCUGGGAUGUGCAAGCACCAGGAGGGAUUCUGCUGCUCAGGAAUGACUGGCAAACAGAGGAAAUAGAGAAACCCCUUCCUGGUGAAGAUGACCCAGACUGUGGGCUCAUAGCCAACCUCUUUGUUAAAAGCGACCUGUUCUCUUCGGUGCACCAUUAAAAAGCUACCUGUGGU